GGAUGUGAGGGUGAUCUGGCUGCGACAUCUGUCACCCCAUUGAUCACCAGGGUUGAUUCGGCUGACCUGGAUGGCUAGGCGGGUCUCCCCUUCCUCCCUCACCACUCCAUGUGCAUCCCUCUUGAAGCUGCAUGCUUGGUUGAAGAGGAUGACCUUGCCUGAUAGAGGGGGACUGUUCUUCCGUCAAGGGUAUAUGAGUAGCUGCGCUCCCCUGCUAGAACCUGCAAACAAGCUCUCAGGGUCAUCUGUAGGAGAAUGUAGGGUAGUCAAGCUUCCAAUACUCCACACACAUCCAAAUGAGCUGCUGCAUGUGGCAGUCUACCUUUCUUU
rnacentral:snRNA from 1 species